GAUGAACGCUGGCGGCGUGCCUAAUACAUGCAAGUCGAGCGAACAGACGAGGAGCUUGCUCCUCUGAUGUUAGCGGCGGACGGGUGAGUAACACGUGGAUAACCUACCUAUAAGACUGGGAUAACUUCGGGAAACCGGAGCUAAUACCGGAUAACAUGUUGAACCGCAUGGUUCAACAGUGAAAGACGGUCUUGCUGUCACUUAUAGAUGGAUCCGCGCCGCAUUAGCUAGUUGGUAAGGUAACGGCUUACCAAGGCAACGAUGCGUAGCCGACCUGAGAGGGUGAUCGGCCACACUGGAACUGAGACACGGUCCAGACUCCUAAGGGAGGCAGCAGUAGGGAAUCUUCCGCAAUGGGCGAAAGCCUGACGGAGCAACGCCGCGUGAGUGAAGAAGGUCUUCGGAUCGUAAAACUCUGUUAUUAGGGAAGAACAAAUGUGUAAGUAACUAUGCACGUCUUGACGGUACCUAAUCAGAAAGCCACGGCUAACUACGUG
rnacentral:rRNA from 1 species